GACGAACGCUGGCGGCGUGCUUAACACAUGCAAGUCGAACGGAAAGGCCCUGCUUUUGUGGGGUGCUCGAGUGGCGAACGGGUGAGUAACACGUGAGUAACCUGCCCUUGACUUUGGGAUAACUUCAGGAAACUGGGGCUAAUACCGGAUAGGAGCUCCUGCUGCAUGGUGGGGGUUGGAAAGUUUCGGCGGUUGGGGAUGGACUCGCGGCUUAUCAGCUUGUUGGCGGGGUAGUGGCUUACCAAGGCUUUGACGGGUAGCCGGCCUGAGAGGGUGACCGGCCACAUUGGGACUGAGAUACGGCCCAGCCUCCUACGGGAGGCAGCAGUGGGGAAUAUUGCACAAUGGGCGGAAGCCUGAUGCAGCAACGCCGCGUGCGGGAUGACGGCCUUCGGGUUGUAAACCGCUUUCGCCUGUGACGAAGCGUGAGUGACGGUAAUGGGUAAAGAAGCACCGGCUAACUACGUG
rnacentral:rRNA from 1 species